rnacentral:rRNA from 1 species
AAUCAACGCUGGCGGCGUGCCUCAGACAUGCAAGUCGAACGCGAAAGGCUCCUUCGGGGGCCGAGUAGAGUGGCGCACGGGUGAGUAACACGUAGGUAAUUUGCCUUUGGGUGGGGAAUAACUCAGGGAAACUUGAGCUAAUACCGCAUAAUGCAGCGGCUCGACAUCGAGACAGUUGUUAAAGCGGGGGAUCGCAAGACCUCGCGCCUGAAGAGAAGCCUGCGGCAGAUUAGCUAGUUGGUAGGGUAAUGGCCUACCAAGGCGACGAUCUGUAACCGGCCUGAGAGGGCGGUCGGUCACACUGACACUGACAUACGGGUCAGACUCCUACGGGAGGCAGCA